UCAUAAGUAUAACCCAGGAAGAGUUCAGGG
rnacentral:piRNA from 1 species